UACAGAGGGUGCAAGCGUUAAUCGGAAUUACUGGGCGUAAAGCGCGCGUAGGUGGUUUGUUAAGUUGAAUGUGAAAUCCCCGGGCUCAACCUGGGAACUGCAUUUGUGACUGCAUCGCUGGAGUGCGGCAGAGGGGGAUGGAAUUCCGCGUGUAGCAGUGAAAUGCGUAGAGAUCGGGAGGAACACCAGUGGCGAAGGCGGCCUUCUGAACCAAUACUGACGCUCAUGCACGAAAGCGUGGGGAGCAAACAGG
rnacentral:rRNA from 1 species